rnacentral:rRNA from 1 species
UGGGGAAUUUUGGACAAUGGGCGAAAGCCUGAUCCAGCAAUGCCGCGUGUGUGAAGAAGGCCUUCGGGUUGUAAAGCACUUUUGUCCGGAAAGAAAUCCUUGGCUCUAAUACAGUCGGGGGAUGACGGUACCGGAAGAAUAAGCACCGGCUAACUACGUGCCAGCAGCCGCGGUAAUACGUAGGGUGCAAGCGUUAAUCGGAAUUACUGGGCGUAAAGCGUGCGCAGGCGGUUUGCUAAGACCGAUGUGAAAUCCCCGGGCUCAACCUGGGAACUGCAUUGGUGACUGGCAGGCUAGAGUAUGGCAGAGGGGGGUAGAAUUCCACGUGUAGCAGUGAAAUGCGUAGAGAUGUGGAGGAAUACCGAUGGCGAAGGCAGCCCCCUGGGCCAAAUACUGACGCUCAUGCACGAAAAGCGUGGGGAGCAAAACAGGAUUAGAUACCCUGGUAGUCCACGCCCUAAAACGAUGUCAACUAGUUAUUGGGGAUUCAUUUCCUUAGUAACGUAGCUAACGCGUGAAGUUGACCGCCUGGGGGAGUACGGUCGCAAAGAUUAAAAACUUAAAGGAAUUGACGGGGUCAUAGCUGUUUCCU